rnacentral:rRNA from 1 species
GACGAACGCUGGCGGCGUGCUUAACACAUGCAAGUCGAACGGAAAGGCCCUGCUUUUGUGGGGUGCUCGAGUGGCGAACGGGUGAGUAACACGUGAGUAACCUGCCCUUGACUUUGGGAUAACUUCAGGAAACUGGGGCUAAUACCGGAUAGGAGCUCCUGCUGCAUGGUGGGGGUUGGAAAGUUUCGGCGGUUGGGGAUGGACUCGCGGCUUAUCAGCUUGUUGGUGGGGUAGUGGCUUACCAAGGCUUUGACGGGUAGCCGGCCUGAGAGGGUGACCGGGCACAUUGGGACUGAGAGACGCACCAGACGCGUACGGGAGGCAGCAGUGGGGAAUAUUGCACAGUGGGCGGGAGCGUGAGGCAGCAACGCCGCGUGCGGGAUGACGGCUUUCGGGUUGUAAACCGCUUUCGCCUUUGACGAGGCGUGAGUGACGGUAAUGGGUAAAGAAGCACCGGCUAACUACGUG